CCACGACUGCGUGGCCAUGCACGCCUCCAACUCAAUCAUCAACUUUGCAGACGACACAACAGUGGUAGGCUUGAUUACCAACAACGAUGAGACAGCCUACAGGGAGAAGGUGAGGAACCUCGGAGUGUGGUGUCAGGAAAAUAACCUCUCAUUCAAUGUCAGCAAAACAAAAGAGAUGAUUGUGGACUUCAGGAAACAGCAAAGGGAGAACCCCCCUAUCCACAUCGACGGGACAGCAGUGGAGAAGGUGGAAAGUAUUAAGUUCCUCGGUGUUAAUAUCACCAACAAACUGAAAUGGUCCACGCACACAGGCAGUGUGGUGAAGAAGGCAAACUACCUGCCCUCCAGGACACCUACAACACCUGAUGUCAUAGGAAGGCAAAAAAGAUCAUCAAGGACAAUAACCACUCAAGCCACUGCCUGUUCACCCAUAACCAGACUUUCAAAGGACUUCAUGGCUAUAGAUGUGAGUGCUACAGGGCAGUAGUCAUUUAAGCAGGUUACCUUGGUGUUCUUGGGCACAGGGACUAUGGUGGUCUGCUUGAAACAAUCCAGUUUGGGAAUAGCCAAUAUAGGAGGCACAUUUUUAUUUUUUGCAAAUAUUUUCUUUCUUUAAAAAAAACAACUACGUUGUUGGUUAAGGGCUUGUCGGUCCAUGUAUCUACAAAGAGGUUUCGUUUGAGCCUGGACAGACCUUCUACAGGGGUUGUAACAAGUGCAACUGCCACGAAAAUGGCUACUUCUGUCUCUCGUGAGUAAACGGACCAAAUUAGUGACAGUAUGCAAGUCAAACAUAUAAACCAAACAUGAAUUCCGUUUUUGCCAAUAUCACGUAUUAUUUUCGUUCAUAUCCCCAGACCGAUGAAACCUACCACAUGGCCCAACAAGUGCCAGCGGUUUCCAACGGAGUGUGGCUACCGCGUGAUUUAUAAGGAGGUGGAGUGUCAAGUCUACAGCUGGAUCUGGUGAAGGCAGACAGACACCUAUGCCCCCCUACAGUCAACAUACACGAUCGCAAGACUCUGGCUGUGGACAACCUCUUCAAUUUAAGUAGUUAUCAUGCAGAGAACUGACCACAUCCAACCUUCAAUUUAUCAACUUGUUCAAUCAAAGGAACCAAUUCCCAAAUUGAACGACCCAACUCCAAAAGUUUAGUCCUUCGUUUCAAUAAAUGUGUGUAGGGGUCAGAUUGUGUGUGUGUGUUAAUGUUACUAAAAAGUGGGACCGAAGGACCUCAAUUGGCACGGAUUCCAAAUGGGCAUAGAUUCAAAUUCCUAUAGAUUCUCAAACACAAGAACACAAGUACCACAAAAAGUAGCAACAUACUCUGACUGUACAGUAGUGUCCUAUCAUCCAAUAUGAGUGCUCAGCUUCCUGCCCUCCUCUCCUUACUUUAGUGACCACUGAUCUUGAUCACAUCGACAGUGUCAUUAUUUUUCGGUAGACAAAAAGUACAUUAAAUUUCCAAUGGAAAGCUGUGGUUGCCCUGCAGCAUUGCAGAGGCAGUUGCAGUGCUUAAUGUAUAAAUUCGAUUUGUCGAACGUAUGUGUAACGACCCUGGGUUUAUAACCGAGGAAAUCGACUCUGCCGCUGGAGCAUGCUUUUGCGGCAGUCGAUAGCGCGCCGGACCUCGGGUCCCUGCUGUUUCAUUACAGUAUGCAUCAAAUCGUAUGCGUAGACGGCGUGACAUAAAUGGUAGCAGAAUGUGAAUGUUGAACUUUUGUUGCACACAUAUCCAGAUGAUGCGUAUAAUUUUACACAAUGAUUAACAUAGUUAAAGGUUAAAUAAAAAUGUGAUAGAGUUGUAACGCCUUGAUCACGCCGAUAGUGUCAUAGCGCAAAAUAGUAAGCGGCAUCAUCUGGAUUUGUGUGCAACAAAGGUUCAACAUGAACUUUCUGCUACCAUUUCUGUCGAGCAGUCUACGCAGUUUGAUGCAUACGUUCGAUAAAUCCAAUUCAUGCAUCACACAAAACACACUAACGGCCUCUGCAAUUCUGCAAAGCAAACAGCGUUCCAUUGGAAAUGAAUGUACUUCUGGUGUACCAAAAUGCAAUGACGGCGUGAUCGAGGCGUAAGCGGCCAACUGAGUAGUUUGAUGAGGACUCCGACCAUAUGUCAAUAUUGUAUCACCUGUUGUUUACGAAGCAUGUGACAAAUAAAAGUUUGAUUUGACCUCGUGACAAGACAAACGGCGUGCUUCUAGAUAUUAUAUUACCCGGCACUGCCCGAGUGUGGCCCUCAAAUCUCAACCAGAUACCCUUCAUUGCCAUGCAGUGUUACAAAGGUCUAUAUCGGUUCCUUCGUAGGUGUUCAGUCUUCUGUAUGUCGCAGACCGCUAUGUUUUCAAUGUGAGGAAGCGAGAGCGCCAUCGGUCAACUUCACAAACCGAGGCUGGAUUUACUCUACUAUGCACGCUCCAUACAGGCUCCGCAAACUCUUUGCGACUUCACCCGCACUGAGAUUUUCGCUGUGCAUGGCAGAGCGUGUAACUUCACACAAUUGUCAGUGAUGAAUUGCUCAGCAGAAAGCUUGACUGUGGCGUUUACUCAGCCUUACAGGGCAACUCCCUAGCCUCACCCGUCGACUGGUUUUUCAGGCUAAGGAUAUAUUUCACCGUUCACGUCACUGUGUAUACAGUAUAUGUAUAGAAUCAAUUAUUUCAAAUAAAACAGGGCAGUGUUACAUACUGUGUAACUAAAUGUCAACUAUUUCUUCAACAGGUUUUUGGGAACGGAUAGUGCAUGAAAUAUCAACAUGGUCAUUUUUCUAAAUACAUCAUCAGUAUUUUAUUAUGAAAAUGCAUUUACAUCUCUUCUGCUUUUUUUCUCUUUUGGAUGGGGGAGUCCACAUAGUCACCACUAUGUUGUGUAAAAAAUAAAACGAGUUAAACGUCACCCCCACACCCCCCAAAAAAUGCAGUGUCCAGUUUCUCUAGGAGUCGAAAGUGAAGAGGUAAAACAAAGACUUUGUCAACAGACCUAAUCAUCCCAAUCCGACCAUCUGUCAGUCCCAGAAAAUAAAUAUCAUGCGGCAAAUUUAGUGUACUAGAUUUCUCUUUACAGUUUAACACAUUUGACACAAGUACACAUGAUCAUACAUUGUCAUUUUUGUUUCAUUUUAGGGGUUAUUUCUUUAUUUAAGGUGCUGGUAAUUUUGGGUGACAUUUCUCAGGAUGUCUUCUGUCAAACAUUCAUUCAAACAGUGAGUACCUUACGUCUGUGGAUGAGGCAAUAAGAAGAAAGGUCAAGUGUCCGGUCAAGCUGGCCAGUCCCUCUUUCCGAAGCCCCAAAGACAUUUACUCUCUGAACGAUUUCCAUCUUCCUGGCACUAGGGUACUACAACUCCCAGCGUGCAUCAGCAAUGUCAUUUAACGUUGAUUGAAAGUCCCCAUGCUGUGGUCAUGGCAGAUGACUAAUUUUGCGUUGUGAUGUUCAUCUUUUUGUUUAGUAUUCCGUUGGUAAGGACCCUAAUAAAAUGGGGGUACAGCAUUCUGUGGAAAGUGAGACUUCUUGAAGCAGCAACAAAUAAGGAGAACACAGCAGCUUUUUUUUAUACCGUUCAAACCAUCCUCCUGUUUUCUUAGGUGGCAUAUGGAAUGCAAGGAAUGGUCAGAAGGAGAGAAAAAUAUAUUCUCAAUACAUUUUGAUAAAACUAAUCCGACAGGAUUCAAAAGAGACGACAAACCCAACAACGGAGUAAAAAUA
ensembl:lncRNA